rnacentral:rRNA from 1 species
UACGUAGGGUGCAAGCGUUGUCCGGAAUUAUUGGGCGUAAAGGGCUCGUAGGCGGUCUGUCACGUCGGGAGUGAAAACUCAGGGCUUAACCCUGAGCCUGCUUCCGAUACGGGCAGACUAGAGGUAUGCAGGGGAGAACGGAAUUCCUGGUGUAGCGGUGAAAUGCGCAGAUAUCAGGAGGAACACCGGUGGCGAAGGCGGUUCUCUGGGCAUUACCUGACGCUGGAGGAGCGAAAGCGUGGGGAGCAAACAGG